AGACACACAUUGUGACCAGGCUCCAAAAAAAUAUGGUCAAAACUGACUUCUAAAGUGUGUUACCAAGGUUUUUCUUUGAUUUGGCCUGGUGACCUAGUUUUUUACCCCUGAUGUCCCAGUUGCAAACAUGACCUA
rnacentral:sRNA from 1 species